ACUGAAUAGAUACCCGGGUAGUCCACGCCCUAAACGAUGUCAACUAGUUGUCGGGGAUUAACUUCCUUGGUAAACGCAGCUAAACGCGUGAAAGUUGACCGCCUGGGGAGUACGGUCGCAAGAUUAAAACUCAAAGGAAUUGACGGGGACCCGCACAAGCGGUGGAUGAUGUGGAUUAAUUCGAUGCAACGCGAAAAACCUUACCUACCCUUGACAUGUCUGGAACCCUGCUGAGAGGUGGGGGUGCUCGAAAGAGAGCCAGAACACAGGUGCUGCAUGGCUGUCGUCAGCUCGUGUCGUGAGAUGUUGGGUUAAGUCCCGCAACGAGCGCAACCCUUGUCAUUAGUUGCUACGAAAGGGCACUCUAAUGAGACUGCCGGUGACAAACCGGAGGAAGGUGGGGAUGACGUCAAGUCCUCAUGGCCCUUAUGGGUAGGGCUUCACACGUCAUACAAUGGUCGGUACAGAGGGUAGCCAACCCGCGAGGGGGAGCCAAUCCCAGAAAACCCGAUCGUAGUCCGGAUUGCAGUCUGCAACUCG
rnacentral:rRNA from 1 species